GUCUCUGGGUCAUCCAGCCUGUGGGUCCUCGUACACCAGGCAGUAACAUGGAUGGCUUACUCUCCAGUUUAUGGAGUCCUCCAGAAGAGGGCAAGAAAGGAUUGUAGGAAUCAGAGGGGUCAAGACCUCCACAAGAAAAUAUACAGAAUCAAAUAAUCUUGGCUUGUAGGUGCUCACUAGGACUGAACUGACAAGCAGGAAGCUUGCAUGGGACUGACCAGGCACUGUGCUUAUAUUUGACCCUUGUGUAGUUGGUUUUAUUGUGCGACUCCCAGUGAUAGGAAAAGGGGCACUGAAUUUGAAGAAAAAUCUUGAUCUUAGGCCUGGUAGGUAAAAAAUGGCAAUCCUCCUGCCUCUAUAGUACUUCUGCUGGGAUUAAAAACAUUCACUAACACACUUGACAUACACACACACACAAAAAAAAAACUGUUCCUUUCCUGAAAAGUACUCACAUUUAAUGAAACAAAACAACCCCAAAGUGAAAUUAGCAAGAAAACACCAUUGAAAAAUCAUUAAACUAUGAAUAGUCAUAGCCCCACCACUGCACACUGGUCCUUCUGGUUCCAUCACAGUAACUGGACUGACCCAGAGAAAAAAUUGAAGAUGAAACUCAACAUCAAGUAUAUUCUGGAGAAGGACUUAUGCAGAGAAUAAUGGAGAGAAUCCCCUGUGGCAAUGCUGUUUCAAGGAGCAGUUCCUACACAACCAUUAGAAACGCAGUGCAGUGUGCCCGGCCUUGGCAUUGGCUCACAUGGUUCUAUUGACCAUGUCAGCUCGUCAGACCCUGUGAUAAGUGCUGUGGUUUCUGAUAAUGGAUGAGAAGAGAUGAAGAGGCAGAAUCUCCUCCAGCAUAGUGAUGUCACUUCUUCCCAGGUUCUUACAAAACCUCUAGCAUCUGUAAAAGAGAACAUUUGCUACUGUUGGCUCAACCAUCACCAAAAGUAAUUAAUCAAAAAAAAAAUCCAGAAAGUAAUGACAUGUUGUAACACACUCUACUUUUGUUCUUCAAAUUCAAUAGUAUGUGGUUAAAAGAUAUAUUCAUAUA